rnacentral:piRNA from 1 species
UAGAAGCGAUUCAUUCAAGCAGCCUUCCUUU